UACGGGGGGGGCAAGCGUUGUUCGGAAUUACUGGGCGUAAAGGGCUCGUAGGCGGCCAACUAAGUCGGACGUGAAAUCCCCAGGCUCAACCUGGGAACUGCGUCCGAUACUGGAUGGCUUGAAUCCGGGAGAGGGAUGCAGAAUUCCAGGUGUAGCGGUGAAAUGCGUAGAUAUCUGGAGGAAUACCGGUGGCGAAGGCGACUUCUUGGCCUGUUCUUGACGCUGAGGCGCGAAAGCUGGGGGAGCAAACGGG
rnacentral:rRNA from 1 species